rnacentral:tRNA from 1 species
GCUGGCGUAGCUCAGUUGGUAGAGCACCUGAUUUGUAAUCAGGCGGUCGCGGGUUCGAGUCCCAUCGCCAGCU